rnacentral:rRNA from 1 species
CCCUUAGAUGUUCUGGGCCGCACGCGUGCUACACUGAGUGGAUCAGCGGGUCAGGUUGCGCGAAAGCGUUUCCUGAUCUUUAAAUCCGCUCGUGAUGGGGAUUGACGGUUGCAAUUUUCUGUCAUGAACGAGGAAUACCUUGUAAGCGCGGGUCAUCAUCCCGCGCUGAAUACGUCCCUGCCCUUUGUACACACCGCCCGUCGCUCCUACCGAUUGAAUGAUCCGGUGAGGCUUUGGGAUCUGAGCGGAAAGAGCGUUUCGCUGUUUCUGCUCGGAAAACUCAGUCGAACCUUAUCAUUUAGAGGAAGGAGAAGUCGUAACA